rnacentral:rRNA from 1 species
GACGAACGCUGGCGGCGUGCUUAACACAUGCAAGUCGAGCGGUAAGGCCCUUUCGGGGGUACACGAGCGGCGAACGGGUGAGUAACACGUGGGCGACCUGCCCUCAGCUCUGGGAUAAGCCUGGGAAACCGGGUCUAAUACUGGAUAUGACUCCAUGACGCAUGUUGUGGGGUGGAAAGCCUUGUGCGGCUGAGGAUGGGCCCGCGGCCUAUCAGCUUGUUGGUGGGGUGAUGGCCUACCAAGGCGACGACGGGUAGCCGGCCUGAGAGGGCGACCGGCCACACUGGGACUGAGACACGGCCCAGACUCCUACGGGAGGCAGCAGUGGGGAAUCUUGCGCAAUGGGCGAAAGCCUGACGCAGCGACGCCGCGUGAGGGAUGACGGCCU